rnacentral:rRNA from 1 species
UUGGAGGGCAAGUCUGGUGCCAGCAGCCGCGGUAAUUCCAGCUCCAAUAGCGUAUAUUAAAGUUGUUGCAGUUAAAAAGCUCGUAGUUGAAUUUCGGGAUCAGAUUGUCGGUCGUGCCUCGGUACGCACUGGCAUUAUUGGUUCCUACCUUCUGAAGAACCGCGAUGUCAUUAAUUUGGUGUCGUGGGGAAUCAGGACUGUUACUUUGAAAAAAUUAGAGUGUUUAAAGCAAGCUUACGCUUGAAUACAUUAGCAUGGAAUAAUGAAAUAGGACGUUUGAUUCUAUUUUGUUGGUUUCUAGGAUUGACGUAAUGAUUAAUAGGGAUAGUUGGGGGCAUUAGUAUUCAAUUGUCAGAGGUGAAAUUCUUGGAUUUAUUGAAGACUAACUACUGCGAAAGCAUUUGCCAAGGAUGUUUUCAUUAAUCAAGAACGAAAGUUAGGGGAUCGAAGACGAUCAGAUACCGUCGUAGUCUUAACCAUAAACUAUGCCGACUAGGGAUCGGAUGAUGUUAAUUUUUUAAUGACUCAUUCGGCGCCUUACGGGAAAC